GGAAUUGAUGUGACCCAGGCAGUUCUUUUGCCUCAGUUGACUUGGAGACGGCAGGAAAAAACAGAACUGGUGGGCCCAUGGAAAGCAAAGGUCUAUGAUAUGCACAAUGUGGUUGUUAGCAUCAAAUCUAGAAGGGUUCCAGGGGCUAUGACAGAUGAUGAGUUCUUCUCAUCCUGCAAUGAGAAUGAAACAGAGAGUGAGGAGCU
rnacentral:misc_RNA from 1 species